ensembl:lncRNA
GUGUGGUGGGAGAGCCGAAGGAAUACUUAUUGAAGUAGUCACAACGACGACAUCACUAGCUAGGCCGCAUAUUCCAUCGCCAGAUCCGAACCAAGCGAAGUGAAGGAAGACGGGUGUCCUUUUCGUACACUGAGUGUGGUGGAUAAACCCCCGCCUUCACGCACUUCGUCGCGGGAGGACAAGGAGACUGCUGGUCCUAGCCUAGUUCAGUACAGUAUAUGUUGUGAGCGUGCUUCAGAUCUCCGGAGAUAGCACAGUACGCUGUGUCCAGCCCAGAGGUGAAAGCCAUCCAAAGCAGAGUAACUGUGCUUUGCGUCCAAGUUGAUACCUGUGGAGAGGAAAGGAAAGAGAGAUUGAUACCUGUGGAGAGAAAAGGAGAGAGAUUGAUACCUGUGGAGAGAAAAGGAGAGAGAGUGAAUAACACGAGGAGAGACCGAGGAAAC